GAGGCAGUGUACCCCGAUGGGUAAGGGGACUUGCCGGAAGAUCCGUCUUUCGGUGAGUUGAUGUCGGUUCGAGUCCGGCCCUGCCUCA
rnacentral:tRNA from 1 species